rnacentral:lncRNA from 1 species
CUGGCUUUUGGCUCAGACAGGCUGCAGCCUUCCUGAAACCUGUGCUGGGCUCACUCCUGUCCCUCAACUUUCUUCCUAGCGCUGACUCCAGCCACCCAGUGGGGACAGGAACCUCAGAAAGCAGGGUUCCCGGAGGCCAAUGGCUUUAGGAACGGCUACCAGCCUCCCAAUGGCUACGGACCUGGAGCAGAACUGAGCUUCGUCGGUGGCCCCCUGCUGCAGAAAGUCGGGUUUGCUUACAGGAAUGGAGCCCUGGGAGCUGGCGUCUUCCCCGAGGCUGAAGCACAGCCAGGGUUCCCUGAGGCCAAUGGCUUUAGGAAUGGGCAAAGAGAGAAGGCUCCUAUGUACCCAAAGGCUGCAGGCCCAGCUCUGGAAGGGGUCCGUAAGAAGCAAGCAGGUCAGCCAGGGGCCCAGCUGGGCUCUCCCUGGCCCUACCUACGGCCCUGGGCCACUUGGGUGAGGCCUGGAUACGGACACGCGGGGCUCAGGAGCCAGCCAGGACCCUAUGGACAGCUGAAGCCCGCACUGGGCCCGGGGCCCUUUGGUGAGUGUGGGUCUGCCAGACUCACAGGUGAAAGUGGGUGGGCAAGUAGGGUGUGUGGUGCAGGACUGUAAUCCCAGCACGGAGGAGGCUGAGGCAGGAGGGUACUCGAGAGUUGAAGCCCAGCCUGAGGAGCUCAGUGCCAGCCUGAAGUACAUAGUGAGACCCUGUCUCAAAAGAAAGGAAAGGAAAGGGAAAGAGAAAGGGAAAGGAAGGGAAAGGAAAGAAAAGCAAGGGAAAGUGGGUGGGUAGAAAUACUCUGCUGACCCCAGCGGUCUCUGGUCUGUCUGUGUCUCAGGGAGCCCUGAAGUGAAGAGCGGCAACAAUGGCCAGUUGGAGGCCAGUUACUGAGGUGAGAGGGAGCCACAGCAGCCCACCUGCGCCACCCUGAAAGUCACCACUGUCACCCUAAAGCUGCACUGGAGGGUGCCCACAGUGCCUGAGUGGGAAAGCACCCUCUCAGCCCUGGCAGGGGCCUCCUGAGGGGUGGGGGAGCGCGGAUCCAGGGUGGUGAGGAGCGCCAUCCCCCCAGGGCCUGUCGCUCCCUAGUUCCAGCUCUGCCUCUUCCCAGGCCGCUGCCCUCUUGGGAAAUGCUGAGCACCUGAGCUGGCCCCUGCUCAUCGGAGAGCCCCCAAACAGCAUCCCCUCCAUGGGGCAAGGAAGGCAGGACCUUGGGGAUUGGCCUCUGAUGCUGCUGGCCGGGGGUCUCCCCUGGGCUGACGCAUUAAUAAAUGCAAUGUGCUUCCAUUCGCCUUUGUGUACCACUGUGGUGAGGGUGGCACGGGUUGGCAACCACUACCUAGCACCUCAUUUAUUUAUUCACGCAACAAAUGCCAGUGUGGUUGUGUGCCAGGGGCCAUGCUCUGGAUGGGUGACAUCAUUAGAAUAAAACAGACAACACCAGUAAGGAAACUGUAUCUAAAUUAGAGGACUUGUGUAUGGAAAAAAUUACUUUGUAAUUUGUAUUUUAG